UUAUCCCUGUUUUCACACCCUGAUAAUCAACUGCUAUUCUCAGUGUCUAAUUCACUGACUGACACUGUGACUCCUCCCCCGCAGGUAGACACACAACUCCAUCAGUUCUCUCCCAUCCUCACUCCAAACUGCAUGACUUGGAGACAUCAACUCUGCCUGGCUGCUCUGAAUUUGAUUCUUCAUCUCAACGGACCUGAGCUGGGAUGCCUGAGUCUCCUCUCAGUCCCACAGCAGCCCGUCAAACUCCAGCCAGCAGCCUCCUCAGUCACACAGACAACGGUGCAGGAGAGAGAGCAGCUAAUGGGGACUCCUGCAGUGGAGUGAGUGCUGAAAACUGGCAGAGUCUCCACCAUAAACAGGUGUUUCUGGCUAUGAUGGCUCCUCAGCAGAUGCAGCACCUUCUAUCCCCCAACCAGCUGCAGGCCCUGAUCCACCAGAAACAACAAGCCCUAAUGCUCCAGCAGCAACAUCUGAAAGAGUUUUACAAGAAGCAACAACAACAGAUUCACCUGCAGCUGCUUCAACAGCAGCCCAGCAAGAAAGUCAAAGAGGUAAGAGGUUAUCUAUGUAUAUGAAUAUAUAUAUUUUAUAUUUUAUUUAUUUUAUAAUUCUGUCCUUGCUUUAGUU
rnacentral:lncRNA from 1 species